GACGGAGGGGGCUAGCGUUGUUCGGAAUUACUGGGCGUAAAGCGCGCGUAGGCGGCGGGUCAAGUGGGGCGUGAAAGGCCUGGGCUUAACCUGGGAAUGGCGCUUCAAACUGGCUUGCUUGAGUCCGGGAGAGGGUGGUGGAAUUCCCAGUGUAGAGGUGAAAUUCGUAGAUAUUGGGAGGAACACCGGUGGCGAAAGCGGCCACCUGGCCCGGUACUGACGCUGAAGUGCGAAAGCGUGGGGAGCAAACAGG
rnacentral:rRNA from 1 species